rnacentral:rRNA from 1 species
AUUGAACGCUGGCGGCAUGCCUUACACAUGCAAGUCGAACGGCAGCACGGGUGCUUGCACCUGGUGGCGAGUGGCGAACGGGUGAGUAAUACAUCGGAACGUACCUUAUCGUGGGGGAUAACGCAGCGAAAGCUGUGCUACUACCGCAUACGCACUGAGGGGGAAAGCGGGGGAUCGCAAGACCUCGCGCGAUUAGAGCGGCCGAUGCCUGAUUAGCUAGUUGGUGGGGUAAAAGCCCACCAAGGCGACGAGCAGUAGCUGGUCUGAGAGGACGAUCAGCCACACUGGGACUGAGACACGGCCCAGACUCCUACGGGAGGCAGCAGUGGGGAAUUUUGGACAAUGGGGGCAACCCUGAUCCAGCAAUGCCGCGUGAGUGAAGAAGGCCUUCGGGUUGUAAAGCUCUUUUGUCAGGGAAGAAACACCGGCUCUAACACAGUCCGGGAAUGACGGUACCUGAAGAAUAAGCACCGGCUAACUACGUGCCAGCCGCCGCCGUAA